AGAUUGAACGCUGGCGGCAGGCCUAACACAUGCAAGUCGAGCGGUAGAGAGGUGCUUGCAUCUCUUGAGAGCGGCGGACGGGUGAGUAAUGCCUAGGAAUCUGCCUAGUGGUGGGGGAUAACGUUCGGAAACGGACGCUAAUACCGCAUACGUCCUACGGGAGAAAGCGGGGGACCUUCGGGCCUCGCGCCAUUAGAUGAGCCUAGGUCGGAUUAGCUAGUUGGUGAGGUAAUGGCUCACCAAGGCGACGAUCCGUAACUGGUCUG
rnacentral:rRNA from 1 species